UACGGAGGAUGCAAGCGUUUAUCCGGAAUGAUUGGGCGUAAAGCGUCCGCAGGUGGCUGUGUAAGUCUGCUGUUAAAGAGUCUAGCUCAACUAGAUAAGAGCAGUGGAAACUACAUAGCUAGAGUACGUUCGGGGCAGAGGGAAUUCCUGGUGUAGCGGUGAAAUGCGUAGAGAUCAGGAAGAACACCGGUGGCGAAGGCGCUCUGCUAGGCCGUAACUGACACUGAGGGACGAAAGCUAGGGGGAGCGAAUGGG
rnacentral:rRNA from 1 species